rnacentral:rRNA from 1 species
UACAGAGGUCUCAAGCGUUGUUCGGAUUCAUUGGGCGUAAAGGGCGCGUAGGCGGCGCGGCAAGUCGGGUGUGAAAUCUCGGAGCUUAACUCCGAAACUGCAUUCGAUACUGCCGUGCUUGAGGACUGGAGAGGAGACUGGAAUUUACGGUGUAGCGGUGAAAUGCGUAGAUAUCGUAAGGAAGACCAGUGGCGAAGGCGGUUCUCUAGUACGGUACUGACACUGAGGCACGAAAGCGUGGGUAGCGAACAGG